GUUAGGAAUAUUGGACAAUGGGCGCAAGCCUGAUCCAGCCAUGCCGCGUGAACGAUGAAGGCCUUCGGGUUGUAAAGUUCUUUAGCCGAUGAUUAUAAUGACUGUAGUCGGAAAAUAAGCCCCGGCUAACUUCGUGCCAGCAGCCGCGGUAAUACGAAGGGGGCGAGCGUUAUUCGGAAUCACUGGGCGUAAAGCGUGCGUAGGCGGUCUCGUAAGUUAGGAGUGAAAGCCCAGGGCUCAACCUUGGAAUUGCUCUUAAAACUGCAAGGCUAGAAUCUCGGAGAGGAUAGCGGAAUUUCCAGUGUAGCAGUGAAAUGCGUAGAUAUUGGAAGGAACACCAGUGGCGUAAGCGGCUAUCUGGACGAGUAUUGACGCUGAGGCACGAAAGCGUGGGGAUCAAACAGGAUUAGAAACCCUGGUAGUCC
rnacentral:rRNA from 1 species